UGGGGAAUAUUGCGCAAUGGGCGGAAGCCUGACGCAGCGACGCCGCGUGAGGGAUGACGGCCUUCGGGUUGUAAACCUCUUUCAGUAGGGACGAAGCGUGAGUGACGGUACCUACAGAAGAAGCACCGGCCAACUACGUGCCAGCAGCCGCGGUAAGACGUAGGGUGCGAGCGUUGUCCGGAUUUAUUGGGCGUAAAGAGCUCGUAGGCGGCUCGUCGCGUCGGCUGUGAAAACCUGGGGCUUAACCUUGGGCUUGCAGUCGAUACGGGCGGGCUAGAGUUCGGUAGGGGAGACUGGAAUUCCUGGUGUAGCGGUGAAAUGCGCAGAUAUCAGGAGGAACACCGGUGGCGAAGGCGGGUCUCUGGGCCGAUACUGACGCUGAGGAGCGAAAGCGUGGGGAGCGAACAG
rnacentral:rRNA from 1 species